AGCCUGAUCCAGCCAUGCCGCGUGAGUGAUGAAGGCCUUAGGGUCGUAAAGCUCUUUCGCCUGUGAAGAUAAUGACUGUAGCAGGUAAAGAAACCCCGGCUAACUCCGUGCCAGCAGCCGCGGUAAUACGGAGGGGGUUAGCGUUGUUCGGAAUUACUGGGCGUAAAGCGCGCGUAGGCGGACUGGAAAGUUGGGGGUGAAAUCCCAGGGCUCAACCCUGGAACUGCCUCCAAAACUAUCAGUCUAGAGUUCGAGAGAGGUGAGUGGAAUUCCGAGUGUAGAGGUGAAAUUCGUAGAUAUUCGGAGGAACACCAGUGGCGAAGGCGGCUCACUGGCUCGAUACUGACGCUGAGGUGCGAAAGUGUGGGGAGCAAACAGGAUUAGAUACCCUGGUAGUCCACACCGUAAACGAUGAAUGCCAGUCGUCGGGUAGCAUGCUAUUCGGUGACACACCUAACGGAUUAAGCAUUCCGCCUGGGGAGUACGGUCGCAAGAUUAAAACUCAAUGAAUUUGACGG
rnacentral:rRNA from 1 species